UACGUAGGGUGCGAGCGUUGUCCGGAAUUACUGGGCGUAAAGAGCUCGUAGGUGGUUUGUCGCGUUGUUCGUGAAAACCGGGGGCUUAACCCUCGGCGUGCGGGCGAUACGGGCAGACUGGAGUACUGCAGGGGAGACUGGAAUUCCUGGUGUAGCGGUGGAAUGCGCAGAUAUCAGGAGGAACACCGGUGGCGAAGGCGGUUCUCUGGGCAUUACCUGACGCUGAGGAGCGAAAGUGUGGGGAGCGAACAGG
rnacentral:rRNA from 1 species